GUCAACCACCCAUCACUUCCCUUCUCUGCGAGACGCUACGCGAACGGGUAAGUGAUGGCUUGUAAAAGCCUAGUUGACCAGACUCAGUUCUUGACCGAACUACGUUAGAGGUAAGAGUUAAAGACCUAUCAAGGGAUGCGUAGCUAGUUCCCUGCUCUAGAACUUAAAAGUUAAACAGGCUUAAGGGUUAAACCAGUGCUUUUAAGAUAGUUACCGACCUCUAACAUUGUCAAAGCUAACAUUAC
rfam:Anabaena cylindrica PCC 7122 plasmid pANACY.01, complete sequence.